AUCAUAUUCAUAUUAAUAGAAGAGAACUCAGUCUCUCUUUGCAAUCUCUAAUGGGGGAAUGGAUAGAUUAUCUUGAUUACAUCGACGAAACCCAACCCACCGAUUUCCUCUGGCCCAACCGCACUCCUUUCGGCGAUUUCGAAUUCUCCGCCCUCGAUGUUCCUGCUGCCGCCGCUUCACAGUUACAGGAAAAAGAGUGCCCCCGCAAGAGGGGACGACCGGAUUCGUGCUCUGGAUCAGGGGCAAAAGCUUGCCGUGAGAAAUUGAGGAGGGAGAGAUUGAAUGACAGGUUUGUGGAGUUGAACGGUGUUUUGGAGCCCAGGAGGCCGCCGAAGACGGACAAGGCUGCUAGACUUGAUGAUGCCAUAAGGGUUUUGAACCAGCUGAGAGCUGAAGCUCAGGAGCUCACAGAAACAAAUCAAAAGUUACUUGAAGAAGUUAAAAGUUUAAAGGCAGAGAAGAACGAAUUUCGUGAAGAGAAACUUGUACUGAAAGCAGAUAAAGAACGGCUGGAGCAGCAGUUGAAAGGUAUGGCAAUUUCACCUUCUGGGUUUGUUCCAACCCACCCAGCGGUACCAGCUGCAUAUCAUCCUGGGGCAAACAAGAUGGCAGUCUAUCCUAGCUAUAGUCUGGUCCCGAUGUGGCACUAUUUGCCUCCAUCGGCCCGUGAUACAUCUUGUGAUCAUGAACUUAGGCCCCCCGCUGCUUAGAUUUUUAAUAAAGCACUUGGAUAAUUUUAGAUGCCUUCAUUUACAUUUCUGACCAUUUUAUUGAUUGUUGAGAAUAUGUCAGCGCUGUUUCAAUUGCCUGACUUUAUUUGGCUGGUGGCACUUGUGUAGCAGAAUUGUUAAAUCACAUUUGUAUGUCAUCAUCAAUGUUCUCUUCAAGUCGUAUAAACCAGUGAUCACAGUAACUGCCCCUACUAUGCUGUGCAAACCACGCAUGAAAGUUUAUUACAUCCAAACAACUAACUCCCUCCCUCUUACAAGUUAAUCACAUUCUGUGACAGGUGAAGUGUCAACUAUUAAUUAGACUCGAUUAUUAGUCUAGUAGUACUUCUCUUCUGAUGUUGGAAAAGUAUGUUGAUAAGCAAUUAUGCAAAACGAGGAAAGUCAAUGUUGGGUUCAAUGU